UACCCUGUUUUGCUCUCCUUCUACCGUUGCCGAUCUGAAGAAAGCUCUUUGUCAGUCAGUUGCAAAUUUUAGCCGAGCCACACACGUCUUUGUAUGGUUGUGCUCAAUCAUUAGGAAGGUUGGAGGCUGCAGCAAUUCUCACCCGUCUGCAAUUAUAUCAGACAAGGACAGUUUUGCUGAUUUCGAUUUGACAAACGACCAGCAGAUAACCGGGCUUCGGACAGAUAGCAUGUUCCUCGAUCGAUACAUUUGCUUUUGUGGUGAGCUUCCCCUUCUUUUUAGGAUGAUAACUCGUUCCAUGGGAUUUUUUUUUUCUAUUUUGGGGAAGAAAUAGCCAGCUUUGGUAUGGACAUGGCUACUUUUAGGGUCUAAUCUACUCUACUGUAGGAAAGCAAUAGAUGUUUGUUAGCUGCCUUGCUUUUACAGUAUGACAAUCGCUGUUGUUGUUUAUUGCAUAGAAACUGAACUUUUGUUCGCAAAAUAUUCUAUUACUGUAUUUUUUCCUCAAUGUGGCUAGCUGACAGUUGCUUAAUGCAUGUAAUUUGAGCUGCCGCUUGUGAUACACUUUGUACUCUGUCUAUCAUCAUACUUCCUAGUGUGCUCAAUUGCUGGUUGUCAUUUGAUUGCAUGGAUGCCGUCAUUUAAGGCUACAUGCCCUCUGUUAUCCGAUGUGCUUAUAAAGCAUUGAAAUGAGCAAGCGGCCAGGCUACUCGUUCACCCAUUUCUACUUGGGGGGAAAACGAUUUGGUCCAGUGCAUUUCUAACUACUACAAGGUGAACCCAAAAUUCAUAAAGUUCCAAAAUGACUACUUAGUCAAUCAUUUAUGAAGGAAGUGUUUGUCAAUCAAGGCGCAACGGGAGACUUUAAUUCUGACUUCGAAAACGACCCCCGUAAUUCAACCGAUGAGCUAGGCAUGGAAACUGCUGCACGAUGUGCACGAAAAAAGGGUAGGUUGAAGCAUGAGGACUGGCAUGCUGAUGUGGAGGUAGUAGGGGUGAAUAAAGAGAAAUGAAAUAAGGGUAAAGGAAAGCCAAAGUCUGGUGAUGCAUCAAGCGAUAGUCCUAUGGCCACCGCGUCCGGUUCAGUGACUGAUAGAUACUUCAGGGCUCUUCACACCAUUGAAUCGCUUGUUAGUCGGAAGAAGACUAGCAG